CCUACGGGGGGCAGCAGUGAGGAAUAUUGGUCAAUGGACGAGAGUCUGAACCAGCCAAGUAGCGUGAAGGAUGACUGCCCUAUGGGUUGUAAACUUCUUUUAUAUGGGAAUGAAAUGUUCCACGUGUGGGAUUUUGUAUGUCCCAUAUGAAUAAGGAUCGGCUAACUACGUGCCAGCAGCCGCGGUAAUACGGAGGAUCCGAGCGUUAUCCGGAUUUAUUGGGUUUAAUGGGAGCGUAGGUGGAUUGUUAAGUCAGUUGUGAAAGUUUGCGGCUCAACCGUAAAAUUGCAGUUGAAACUGGCAGUCGUGAGUACAGUAGAGGUGGGCGGAAGUCGUGGUGUAGCGGUGAAAUGCUUAGAUAUCACGAAGAACUCCGAUUGCGAAGGCAGCUCACUGGACUGCAACUGACACUGAGGCUCGAAAGUGUGGGUAUCAAACAGGAUUAGAUACCCCUGUAGUC
rnacentral:rRNA from 1 species